rnacentral:rRNA from 1 species
AAGUAGCAAUACUUAGUGGCAGACGGGUGAGUAACAUGUGGGUAUCUGCCCUUUGGCCUGGAAUAACACGAGGAAACUUGUGCUAAUACCGGAUAAGUCUUUACGGAGAAAGCUUUAUGCACCAUUGGAUGAGCCCGCACUUGAUUAGUUUGUUGGUGGGGUAAUGGCCUACCAAGACUGUGAUCAAUAGCUGAUUUGAGAGGAUGAUCAGCCACAUUGGGACUGAGACACGGCCCAAACUCCUACAGGAGGCAGCAGUGGGGAAUCUUGCACAAUGGAGGAAACUCUGAUGCAGCGAUGCCGCGUGAGUGAAGAAGGCCCUUGGGUUGUAAAGCUCUUUCGUCGGGGAAGAAAAUGACUGUACCCGAAUAAGAAGGUCCGGCUAACUUCGUGCCAGCAGCCGCGGUAAU